rnacentral:rRNA from 1 species
GACGAACGCUGGCGGCGUGCUUAACACAUGCAAGUCGAGCGGUAAGGCCCUUUCGGGGGUACACGAGCGGCGAACGGGUGAGUAACACGUGGGUGACCUGCCCUCAGCUCUGGGAUAAGCCUGGGAAACCGGGUCUAAUACUGGAUAUGACUCCAUGACGCAUGUUGUGGGGUGGAAAGCCUUGUGCGGCUGAGGAUGGGCCCGCGGCCUAUCAGCUUGUUGGUGGGGUGANGGCCUACCAAGGCGACAAUCCGUAGCUGGUUUGAGAGAACGACCAGCCACACUGGGACUGAGACACGGCCCAGACUCCUACGGGAGGCAGCAGUGGGGAAAUUUUGGACAAUGGGGGCAACCCUGAUCCAGCCAUGCCGCGUGUGUGAAGAAGGCCU